CGGAGGAAAAGAAACCAACCGGGAUUGCCUUAGUAACGGCGAGUGAAGCGGCAAAAGCUCAAAUUUGAAAUCUGGUACCUUCGGUGCCCGAGUUGUAAUUUGGAGAGGGCAACUUUGGGGCCGUUCCUUGUCUAUGUUCCUUGGAACAGGACGUCAUAGAGGGUGAGAAUCCCGUGUGGCGAGGAGAGCGGUUCUUUGUAAAGUGCCUUCGAAGAGUCGAGUUGUUUGGGAAUGCAGCUCUAAGUGGGUGGUAAAUUCCAUCUAAAGCUAAAUAUUGGCGAGAGACCGAUAGCGAACAAGUACAGUGAUGGAAAGAUGAAAAGAACUUUGAAAAGAGAGUGAAAAAGUACGUGAAAUUGUUGAAAGGGAAGGGCAUUUGAUCAGACAUGGUGUUUUGUGCCCUCUGCUCUUGUGGGUAGGGGAAUCUCGCAUUUCACUGGGCCAGCAUCAGUUUUGGUGGCAGGAUAAUCCAUAGGAAUGUACUUGCAUCGGAAGUAUUAUAGCCUGUGGGAAUACUGCCAGCUGGGACUGAGGACUGCGACGUAAG
rnacentral:rRNA from 1 species